rnacentral:rRNA from 1 species
UAUGCUCCCGUUGCUAGACUCGAGUCAAUUCGCAUCUUACUUGCCUAUGCUAAUCAUCAUGAUAUCACCUUGUACCAAAUGGACAUUAAAAGUGCUUUUCUAAAUGGUAAAAUAGAGGAGGAAGUUUAUGUUAAACAACCUCCCGGCUUUGUCAAUCCUAAGAAACCCAAUCAUGUUUACAAACUUCACAAAGCUCUUUAUGGUCUUAAACAAGCUCCUAGAGCAUGGUAUAAAUGCUUGACCAAGUUCCUUCUUGAAAAAGGCUUUGAAAUUGGGAAAAUUGAUUCUACUCUUUUUACUAAAAGGGUUAAUGGAGAACUAUUUGUGUGCCAAAUUUAUGUUGAUGAUAUUAUAUUUGGUUCAACUAACCCUCAUUUUAGUGAAAACUUUGGAAAGCUAAUGUCGGAGAAGUUUGAGAUGUCUAUGAUGAGUGAACUCAAAUUCUUUCUUGGUUUGCAAAUUAAGAAAACUAAGGAAGGAACCUUUGUCUCUCAAACGAAGUAUACCAAGGAAUUAUUCAAGAAGUUCAAUAUGCAAGAAUGCAAAGGUAUGUCUACACCCAUGCCUACAAGUGGACACCUUGACUUGACCAAAGAUGGUGAACCGGUUGAUCAAAAGGUUUAUCGCUCUAUGAUUGGUUCAUUGUUAUAUCUAUGUGCUUCACGUCUCGAUAUCAUGCUAAGUGUGUGCAUGUGUGCAAGAUAUCAAGCUGCUCCUAAAGAAUGUCAUCUUAAGGCCGUGAAAAGGAUAGUGAGAUACUUAAUCCACACACCAAAUUUUGGCAUUUGGUAUCCUAAGAGGGCCUCUUUCGAUCUUGUUGGCUAUUCCGACUCGGACUACGCCGGAGACAAGGUUGAUAGAAAGUCCACUUCGGGUAAUUGUCAAUUUCUUGGUAGAUCUCUUGUGUCUUGGUCCUCCAAGAAACAAAACUCGGUAUCCUUAUCCACCGCCAAAGCG